rnacentral:rRNA from 1 species
UACGGGGGGAGCAAGCGUUGUUCGGAUUACUGGCGUAAAGGGCGCGUAGGCGGUCAGCACAAGUCAAUUGUGAAAUCUCCGAGCUUAACUCGGAAAGGUCAACUGAAACUGUGCGACUAGAGUGCGGAAGGGGCAACUGGAAUUCUUGGUGUAGCGGUGAAAUGCGUAGAUAUCAAGAGGAACACCUGCGGCGAAGGCGGGUUGCUGGGCCGACACUGACGCUGAAGCGCGAAAGCCAGGGGAGCGAACGGG